CGAUGAUCCAUCUUCGGGUGGUGAUUAGUGGCGAACGGGUGAGUAACACGUGAGUAACCUGCCCUCCACUCUGGGAUAACUGUGGGAAACUUCAGCUAAUACCGGAUAUUGAAUGCUGUCCUCAUGGGUGGUGUUUGAAAGAUUUUUUGGUGGGGGAUGGACUCGCGGCCUAUCAGCUUGUUGGUGGGGUAAUGGCCUACCAAGGCGGUGACGGGUAGCCGGCCUGAGAGGGCGACCGGCCACACUGGGACUGAGAUACGGCCCAGACUCCUACGGGAGGCAGCAGUGGGGAAUAUUGCACAAUGGGCGAAAGCCUGAUGCAGCAACGCCGCGUGCGGGAUGACGGCCUUCGGGUUGUAAACCGCUUUCACCAGGGGCGAAUGUAGACGGUACCUGGAGAAGAAGCACCGGCUAACUACGUGCCAGCAGCCGCGGUGAUACGUAGGGUGCGAGCGUUGUCCGGAUUUAUUGGGCGUAAAGAGCUCGUAGGUGGUUUGUUGCGUCGGAAGUGAAAACACAGGGCUUAACUUUGUGCUUGCUUUCGAUACGGGCAGACUUGAGGAAGGUAGGGGAGAACGGAAUUCCUGGUGGAGCGGUGGAAUGCGCAGAUAUCAGGAGGAACACCAGUGGCGAAGGCGGUUCUCUGGACCUUUCCUGACGCUGAGGAGCGAAAGCGUGGGGAGCAAACAGGCUUAGAUACCCUGGUAGUCCACGCCGUAAACGGUGGGCACUAGGUGUGGGGGACAUUCCACGUUCUCCGUGCCGUAGCUAACGCAUUAAGUGCCCCGCCUGGGGAGUACGGCCGCAAGGCUAAAACUCAAAGGAAUUGACGGGGGCCCGCACAAGCGGCGGAGCAUGCGGAUUAAUUCGAUGCAACGCGAAGAACCUUACCUGGGUUUGACAUCUGCCGGAAGCAUCCAGAGAUGGGUGUGCCUUUUUGGUCGG
rnacentral:rRNA from 1 species